rnacentral:rRNA from 1 species
UACAGAGGUCUCAAGCGUUGUUCGGAUUCAUUGGGCGUAAAGGGUGCGUAGGCGGCGCGGUAAGUCGGGUGUGAAAUCUCGGAGCUUAACUCCGAAACUGCAUUCGAUACUGCCGUGCUUGAGGACUGGAGAGGAGACUGGAAUUUACGGUGUAGCGGUGAAAUGCGUAGAUAUCGUAAGGAAGACCAGUGGCGAAGGCGGGUCUCUGGACAGUUCCUGACGCUGAGGCACGAAGGCAAGGGGAGCAAACAGG